rnacentral:lncRNA from 1 species
CUUGGGGUUAAUCCGCGCCGUCCGUUCUCCCCAUCGGACGGCUCCCUUCCUCCUCCUCUCCGCGCAUCCCUUGCGCGUGCCCCCUCCGAUACCCGAAACGCCGCUCUCUCUCUCUCUCCCCCGCACCUUUCUCUCUCUCUUUCUCUCGACGCCUCUCUCUCUCUCAUCGCCUCUCUCUCUCUCUCUCUCUCUCUCAUCCCCUCUCUCUCUCACUCUCAACACCUCUCUCUCUCCCCUCCAUCUUCUCCUUCCACCGCUCCUCCGAUGCGUGAGCUGUCCAUCGUUA